UGCACAAAACGUGCUUUACAGCAUAGUCUUAAUUAUAGUCGAAACUAGUUUUAAAGAUUAUAUGCCACACCAAAACUUUAAUAGGAUCUCAGUUUAAAUGUGGAAGCAAAAUGUAGAUGGUUUAUCCAUGAUGAGAAAAGACUAAAAUGGAAGCUUAACCUGCCUGGAUUCUCUGAUAACCGCUCACACCCUGACAGCCAUGAUUGACCCUGACCCACAGAAUGACACAGAGAAUCAAACCCAUGGCCUGAGCUAUAGGAACAUCUUUUAAAAGCAAUUUUGGAAGUGAAUACCUUCGAGAGAAAAGCGGUAAAGUUCAUUGGUCAGAUCAGAGACCAAAU